AGCUUCUUCCUAUCUGUGCAUACCCUGCCGAGCCAGGGGUGGGGAAAGCCUGCUGGCAAAAGCUACUUGAAAGAGUUCAAGUAUAAAGGGCACGAAGGGCUUUUCUCCAAAGAACCUUGACUUCCUCUGCCUAGGGCCCAUGUGGGGUUGCUCUCUACCAAGAUGCGGAUGUACAACUUAGCCCUCCUCAAGGGCUGUUGAGGUGAGGCCUGAGUGUGCGGGGUGGGUGUGGGAGUUGUUCACCACCCCACCUCUCAGUGACAUGGGCCAGUCUAGGCCAUGCACAGCCCACACUGAGGCAUGGGUUUGCAUUUUACAGCUACUUAAAAUUAUUGCACUUUUUUUUUUUCCAGUUCAGAAGAACAAAUGGAGAGUUGCACUGGGAAUCCCAUCUACAUCCUUCUGCCUCUGAGGCUGAUGAGCAGCCGAGGGGAAUUCAAGUAAUGAGAAGCUGAAUAGUCAAUGGCUGGAUUCCUAUGUCCCUGAAAAUUAUGGGUUGGCCUCAUCAAUCUCAUUUUCUCAACAGCCCUCCUAAGGGAGGAGGAGGCAGCUGGAUUGCAUGCUCUGGAUCCUAGUGUGCUUAGGAGCAAGGCUGCCCUGGGAGAGUCUUGGGUAAUUAUUUACUUCUCUCCCUUGUUUUUAUUUUUGUUUUGAUUUAAGUUUUGCUCCCUCUAAUACUUCCAUAAUUUUCAUUGUGAUGGAACAACAUUCCAAGUUGGGCUGGUCACUGCUCAGAAAGAACACAAGUCCUAUGAACGAAAGUGCUCUAUAAAUCUGAGACAUUAUUAUAUUUACUCCCACUGUAAGGCUUUUAUAUUCAUGUCCAGUAAGUCUGAGGCACGAGGCCAGCCAGCUAUCACGAGCUCCCUGAUCUUAAAUAGAUUCAAGGCUUUGUCCAAAGGUUUGAAGAUGGAUUCAUUUGAAAUUGCAAACUGCAGGGCUGGGAGUAUAGCUCAGUGGUAAAGUGCUUGCCUAGCAUUGUGCAAGGGCCUGGCUUUGAACCCCAGCAUUGGGGGGGGGGGAAAGUUUAAAACUGCAAGCUGCAGUAUAAGAAAUUCAUCAUAUCUACCAUCAGCCAGAUACUGUUGAGUACAUUAUUAUUAUGUACAGAGAUCUAGACUAAAGUUCCCAGUGCAGAAAACAAAACUUUGCUUGGGUAAUUGCAGGAAACUUUGCUGCAAUUCACUAAGAAUGUAUUUUGAUGAAUAAGGAAACAUUAAAAAAAAUAGGUCAGGGUGCUUUUAGAGAAUCAAAAAAACCCACUAGGAUUCUCUGCAGGCAUAAUAAUUGGGUAGUCCAUCCAGCCUCCCACCCAGUCCCCUUGCCCUUUCUUUCCCAUGCUGCUGUCUGUGACAGCUCUGGAAGGAGCCCCAGGCAGCUCUCCUCUGAAUCCUUCAUUAUGACAUCUCGUCUCUGCCUUCUCCACACUCAAAUCAGCCUCACUAGCACCUCAGCUUCUAAUUUUAGCUGCUGUUUUGCAUUUUGUGUAACGUCCUAGGAAAUAUAAUGCAGAAUUUAGACAGGAGAGAAGUCAGGCUGUUUGCUUCCUGCUGUAUUGGCAGGGGUCCAUCUUUGAUAGUUGAAGGCUGAUAGCAAUCAGAACAACGGGGAACAGAAUGGUUGUGCCCUCAUUUGCCUCAGAGAACAGUCUCUUUUCAGGGUUCCUGAGCUAGAACCUCUCUGCCCUUUUCUCUCUGUACUGAUGGCUGAUUGCACGGCUUCAGCAACCACUAAACUUACUCCUGGCUUGGCAGGACUUUGAAUUGACACAGGUAAUUGAAAAUGUCGAGAGGGAAGGGGUAUAUGUGUAUGUGUUUUUGGAGGGGGAGCAGGGAGGAAUUUUUCCUUCCUGAGGAAGAAAAAUCCUGAACUAGGUUCAAUAAUCUGUCCAGACCAGAAGCUUGGUAAAUCUACAUUGUCAAACAGGCAGAUGAUUAUAUUUUAUAUCCUAUAUCAUGUGGAGUGUCUCCUUGGGAAUCUUUUAAAGAAGGGGCAGGGCUGGGGAGGUAGCUCAGUGGUAGAGUGUCUGUCUGGCAUGCACAAGGCCUUGGGUUCAAUCCUCAGCAACACACACAUACACACACACACACUCACACACACACACACACUAUCAAAACAAUAAUAAUAAUGUUAAAAAAAAAGGAUAGGGCAAAACUUUGGGAGCAGACUAGAUCGGUGCUAUCAAGGUGUGGUGGCAUUGGCAUCUGGGAGCUUAUUAGAAAUUCAAUCUUCUUAGUUGGGAUUGCUACAAAUUUCAGAAGUGAAACAAAACUAAAACAAAACCCCCAGAAUGAAACUAUCUGUGUUGCUGUGAAAUAUAACACAAAGUGCAUGGGUGAAUUAUAUAAAAGGAAUCUCAAUAAAAGGAACCCUGGCCAGGUACUGUGGUACACACCUGUAAUCCUUGUAGCUCAGGAGGUUGAGGCAGGAGGAUUGCAAGUUCAAAGCCAGCUUCAGCAAUUUAGCGAGAUCCUGUCUCAAAAAGGGCUGGGGAUGUGGCUUAGAGGUUAAGCACCUCUGGGUUCAAUCCCCAGUACCAAAAAAGGAAACCUGGAUCAUUUCUACCCUAACCAGAGAAUAAGAACAUUGCAAGCACCCUAGAAAGCCCCUCUUCCCAUUGGAAUCUAACUCUUUGCCUCACCUCAAAAGUAACCACCCCCCUGACUUCUGUGGUACUCAAUCCCUUUCUUUCCUUUACAUUUUUUACUAACUUAAAAUGCAUCCCUACAUAGCACAGGGUAGUUUUCCUAUUUGACCUUUGUCUUAAUGGGAUUGCCAAGGUCAUCCUCUUUUGUGUCUGGCUUCAUUUGCUCAACAUUUGUCUCUGAGAUUUCAUUAGGUUUUCAACACAGCGAUUCUUGCCCUUAAUAGGGUUGCCACGCCCUCCCGUUGUUUAAAUCCAUAGCAUCACCUAAGAGAAAUAUAGCUCUUCAUUUAAAGUUAUAUGUAAUCAAAAUUACUUUGGUUAAUGAGGAUUUUAUUAUGUUCCUUGAAACAGCCAUUUUUUUUCCCCAGGAUAUUGCUCAGUCAGGAUCGGGAAUUACUGCUCCUGGGCUCCGGUUGUGUCUUCUCUGUGCUCUUCUCCUGAGGUGUCAGGAGGCCUUUCAGGAGUGGGGGCUUUGUUGAAGGAAAUGCUCAGAGCUAUUCACUCCCAGGAGCUUCAUGACCCAACAAUCAAUCCACGGGUGGCCUUGGAUCAGGUCUGGGAUAAGCCAGGACUAUUUCAAGUAACAUGUGACUGUCUCAAGCUCAUUUCAUUACAGUUUUCUUUGCAUCACACAAGCCACAUCUCUGCCUAAGGUGGAGUGCUGCAAAGACAAAGAGAUGGGACAUCUCAGGUACAGUUACUGUCAGUCUUUGCCCCUAGCCUCUUAGUCCUCACAAAAGUUAGGAGCAUGGACUUUGAGUCAGACCAACUUGGGUUCUGGUCCUGGCUCUAUCACUCAUCACUAUGUGACUAUAAGCUCAUCCUCAUCUUAAAAAUGGAGAUUCUAACAAUAGUACAUACCUCAUGGGGCUAUUUUGAUGAUUCAUUAAGAAAUGCUUGAAAAAUGCUUACCAUAGCAUCUGACUAAUAAUAAUCCUAGCUAACUGUAGGCAAAUGCUUCCAAUGUUUCAGGAUCUGGAAUUCUAUGAUUGAUUCUGUGGUUAGCCUCAAUUUCAUAUGAGAAAACUGAGACUCAAAGAGGUUAAAACAAAAAACAAAAAAACAACAAAACAAAACAAAACAAAAAACACUUGCUCUACUACAUGGUGGAGACAAUUUAACUCUUUUUUUAUUUUUUGUACUGGAAACUGAACCCAGGGGUGUUUUUCCACUAAGCCACAUCCUCAGCUAUUUUUAAAAUAUUUUAUCUAGAGAUAGGGUCUCACUAAGUUGCUCAGGGCCUUGCUAAAUUGCUAAGGCUGGCUUUGAACUCACAAUCCUCCUGCCUUAGCCUCCCAAGCUGCUAGAAUUAUAGGCAUGCACCACCACACCCAGUGACAAUUUAAUACUUCUAACCACUCUAUUGUACAACUCAAUAAUUGUAAGUUAUUUUAAUCAUCAACUUAUGCCUAGAGCUUUGAUAUUUUCUAACUUUUUUUUUAGUUGUAAGUGCACACAAUGCCUUUAUUUCACUUUUUAAAAAAUUAUUGGGUGUAUUCUUUAAUUUUUUUUUUAGUUGUAGAUGGACACAAUACCUUUAUUUAUCUUUAUGUGGUGCUGAGGAUGGAACCCAGGGCCUCACACAUGUUAGGCAAGCGUUCAACCACUGAGCUUCAACCCCAGCCCACCUUUAUUUUAUUUUUUUGUGGUGCUGAGGAUCAAACCCAGUGCCUCAUGCAUGCUAGGCGAGCACUCUUCCUCUGAGCCACAACCCCAGCCCAGCUUUGAUAUUUUUGAUGUGUUUCUCUCAUUAUCUGUUUUUAACCUCUCAUGUGACUUUUAGCACAGCUAGUGUCCCAUCAGCUGCUGGUCUCAGAUAGGUGUGAUGAAACAAUUAGAUAUGAGGAUGGUCAUGGAAAUUGAGAAUGGUCCCACCUCUUUAUUGUAUGAUAUUUAUUACUUAUUUAUUGUUACUUAUUUAUGCAAAUUAAUAGCUUACCCUACCCACGUAUAGCAGGAGAAGUAACUUAGCAAAAGACAGAGUGUUUUUCUUCUGUUAAUGACUUAGACUAUUUUCAUGGGCAGUAGCAGCAGCAGCUCGAGACAGGGAGGUGGACUCCUCCCUUCUUUUCCCACAAUUUUAUAAGGCUAUUAUCUCUCCUAUUUCUAAAAAUCUUCUACUGUAUGGCAGGCAGAAUUAUGGCCUCCAAAGGUGUCCACAUCCUAAUCUCUGGGAUCUAUGAAUAUGGGGGGGGGGUCCAAGGGUAAUCACAAGGGUCCUUCAGGAGAAAGAGGGAGUCAGGAGAGUCAGUUUCCUAAUCAUGCAGUAUGAGAAAGACUCUACCAGCCAUUGCUGGCUUUAAAGAUGAAAGAUGGGUACCAAGAAUCAAAGAAUAUGAGAGCGUCUAGAAACUGGAAAAGGUGAAGAAUUAGAUGCUACUAUAGAGCUUCUAGAAAAGAACACAACUUCAUCAACACCUUGAUUUUAACCUAGAGAGAUCUGUGUUAGACUUCUAGUACAGAGUUGUUAAGAUCAUAGGAAUAGAAAUCUUUGUGUGUGUGUGUGUUGCUGGGGAUUGAACCUGGGCCUUGUGCAUGCGAGGCAGGCACUCUACCAAGUGAGCUAUAUCCUCAGCCAGAGCUGUUCAGAUCAUAAAUGUGUAUUUUUUUUUAACAAGGGAUUGAGCCCAGGGGUGCUUAACCAUUAAGCUACAACCCCAGCCCUUUUUGUAUUGUAUGUAGAACCAGGGUCUCACUGAGUUGCUUAGGGUCUAGCUGAAUUGCUGAGACUGGCUUUGAACUCAUGAUUCUCUUGUCUCAGCCUCCUGAGCCACUGAGAUUAUAGGCAUGCUCCACCAUGCCCGGCCAUGUGUAUUGUUUUAAGUCACUGAUUGUGGUAAUAUGUUACAAAAACUUAAGUGCAGUUUAACGUGUAUUGUAAGAAUAUGAUUUGGAAAAUCAAGUAGGCUAAGAGGAGAAUUUUAAAAUUUUCUUUCUAAGCCUUGAUUUCCAUAUUCCAAGCACAUAAAACUUUUGUUUUAAAUAUUUUUUUAGUUGUAGAUGGACACAAUACCUUUUUUUAAUUUUAAUUUUUAUGUGGUACUGAGGAUCAAACCCAGUGCCUUCCACAUGCAAGGCAAGCAUUCUAACACUGAGCUACAACCCCAGCCCUAUAUGAAACUUUUAAGCCCAUAUGCAUGUGUUAGUGUAGAGUAAAUAGUGAUUACAGUAAAUAAAAAGCCAUCUUUAAUGCUAUCUAUCAGUUGGUACAUCUUCUGGUGUUCCUGGGAUUGACAAAGGGAGGUGAAUGGGGGUCAUUACUCAUCAAGCUAUGGCCACUCCUGAGCCUUUGCUCCCAGGAAAGAUCCAGAGGAAACACACAGUAGGACAGCUAUUUGAAGGCAGCCUGAAUGGGUAUGCUAACUUUCUGUGGUUCUGCGGAUUGCCUUAAUCAGAAGACAUCAAUCAUGACCUGAACUUUGGCCUUCUUGUUCCCUUUCAGCUCUAGGCCUACACAAGUGAGUUUCUCCCUGUGCUGACUCACUUCUCUUACUGCAAAGUGGAGCUGCAGACUCAUUCAUAGAAGAGGGAGGCAGAACAAACCAAUGUCAUCAUGAGCAAAAGAUGCACCAAGUCCCAGAACAAAAAAGUGGCAUCAUAAAAUAUUCUAAGUGUGCCUGUCUUAUAGAUUAAUGUAAAGGCAAAUGAUUUCAAACUGCUGAUUGGAAAAAAUAAAUCUAGCAAUAUUUUCUAUAAAUAGUAUCUUUAGCAUUUUAAAAGGAAAAUAAGAUUUUCAACAAGUACAAAGAAAAUCAAGCUGUAGAAAACAUGCAGUUUCUCCAAACAAGUUUGUAAAACCAUUUCAGGGCCCAAGGGGCCCACCAGAGCAGUUUCUUUUACAACCCAGCUUAGUUUCAGGGUUCAAGUUCAGAAUUAGUUGAUAUUCUAAUUUUGGCUGGAGUUGGGUGGGUGUGGUGGCCAAGACAUUCCCAGGAACAGAGAAGGGCCUACCAUUGGUACCAGAUGAAUAAGCAAGAGAUUCCUUGGCCUUUUGAUCCCAGGCUUGUCAAUCAAGUCCUCCAUCACCUGUCUCUCAUCUUCCUAUUACAAGGGUAAUAGGUGCUCCUGGCCACUCUCAGCAGGUAGAGUGAGGGCCACAUGGGGGAGGAAAACUAGGUUGAUGAGCAAAUUUCCCUGUGUUGGGAUGCAUAGUUGAGGUCAUGGGUGAAUGGUCACUCAUGAAGGGAAAUCCAUUAUAUUGUUCAAUUUGAAUAAGAGACAUGGCAGCAGCUUCUCCCCUCAGAGCAGUGGCUUCUACUCCAUCUUUUAUUCCCGCUGUAGACAGACUGACACAAGUUUACAGAGGAGGACUGACCAGUCAAGGAUGCUAAAGAGGAGGAAGGUGGCCACAGCCUCACCUGAGAUCUUAAUGUUUUGUAUGAUUGAUGAAGCUUGAGUUAAUAACCACCCUGGCCUGACCAUAUGUGACCAUAUUCCAGACUGCAGAAACCACAGGACUGGGGCUGUGAGGGCUCACUUCUGUAGGUAGGCAAGGCUUCCACUAGCAAAGAAGAGAAUAUGGCUUUUCCCACCCCAGGGACCCUUGGACCAAACGGCUUCCUCUCCUCCCAGAAGAAAGGAGGGGGUUCUUUCCAUGGGGACCUUUUUGUUUUUCCAGGACAAUCUCCUUCCUCCUCACAGCAUCCCAGGUGCUUCAUCUGGGACCUGGAGUCACAGUGUGGACAAGGCCUUCUAUCUGUGGACCAUCUGCAGAGCUCUGGCUGCCCGUGUUGUUCUGGUCACAUUUUUUUUCUUUGUUCUCAUGUGUCCAGUGACCAAUUUCCCCAUCUUUGUAAAUGUCAGACUCUUACCACUUCUUCUUUUUGCUUUUUUUAUUUGAUUACUUCAUAAGCUCCUACUGAAGGUUAGCAGAAGAAAUAAAACAGGGAAGCCGGUGCCAUGAGCAGGUCUGGUGAAUUCUCUCUAGCAGGAGAACUUUCAUUCUAUCAUCAAAUAAGAGUUGAUGAUUAUCUGUUAUUUUAAUUAUCCUAACUACUCCAAUUGCUAUUUAUUCAUUUAUAGAAGUGCAGGCCUAUCUCUGAAUCUUCAAGGUUUAUCCAUUUGGAAAUCUGUUUUCAUAAAAACAGUUCAAGCUGCAAGGCUGGGCUGGGAGCCAGUGGCAGCUUGGAUGCAGGAACUGCAAGGUCAGGUUCUGGAAGAGCCUCGGAGGGCUACUGCAGACACUGUUGAGGCAGCCUGGCUCCAAGUUUGCUGGAAGGCCAGUGUCUGGGGAGAUAUUGCUCUAUAUAAAGCUCAGAGGUCAGUUUGAGGCUUCCUAUUUCUUCUUCUGACCAUGCUUAGAUUUAGAACAAUACUAGUGUAGAAAGUGCGGCAUUUCUAAGGCCUGUUGUGUUGAAAUGGCUGGGAACCAGGCCCCCUCACCCCACAGUCUAUGCUCUGAUCUUGCUUAAUCACCACUUGACUUUGAGUCUGUGACCUCUGACUUCCUCAUCUGUAAAAUGAGAUUUUAUUGUCUAUCAUCCAGGAUCGUUAUAGGGGAUACGUGAGGCAAAAUAUACCAUGCAUCUAGUAAAUAAUAAGUGCUCAAUGAUACCUUUAUUAUUGGUAUGAUUUGCUCUUAUUGCCUCCAUCAUUAUUGUCACAGCUCAAUGUACAUCAUUAGUGUCACAGCUCAAGUUGGUAAGGUGGGCCUCAGAUAGUCCUGAGCAAAAUUACUCACAAGAGAGGCCCUCAGAGCCUCUGAACUUUUCAUAAGGACAAGGCGUAGUCUUCUGAGUUUCAGCAACAUUUAAUUGGAAGUUAUUGUCCUAGUGUUCACUCCUUUUGAGCAUCACCAUUGGAGCAGGGUCCCCAGAGACUCAUUGCAGUCAGCUGCUGCUGAUAGUCAAAGCAGGUUUGAGAGUUGUGACUCUCAAAGCCAGAUUUCAACACGCUGAGUCAUACUGCAGGGUCUGCCGGCAGAGCCAGUCACCAAGACAAAAGGCAGGCAGUAGUCAGAAGGACCAGCAGCUGUGGUGCACAGAAUAUUUUUGAGGGGAUUUUUUUUUUGUAAAUAUCUGUUCAAUGUGUCAGGAUGAAGGAAGGGAGGGGUGAGUGUUAAUAUUUAUCCAACAUUUACAAUCCACCUGGACCUUAAUCAGGCUUUGCUUUUAUCAAAUACCCCAAAGUACCCAGUGGAUAUUCCUUCCCCUUACACAGCCCCAGACACCCACCAUGGCAUGUCCUUGGAAGGAGUCACUGUCUCCCAGUGGAGGGUGGGAAGUGGCUGUGUGGAAGGGAAAUUCACUGUCAUGGUCUUGGAUGGGGUGAGGUUAUGAGAGCAUUUAUUUCUCUCUGGGGCUGAAUGAGGUUUCACAAAAGGAAGUGACUUGCAAGAAAGGCUUCAUAAGCUAUCUGUUUUCCACAGUUGCUAUGGAUAUUUAGUUAUCUCUGUUAAUACCACUGUCUAUGUGGAAUUAGGAUAUGAGGACAUCACUGAAAAAGGCUUCUCAGUUAUAUCCGCAUUCAGUCUGGUUUGAAAUCUUGGAAGGGAGACAGGUUCCAUGGCACAUGCCUGUGAUCCCAACUGGGGAGGCUGAGGCAGGAGGAUGGCAAGUUCAAGGACAACCUGGGCAACUUAAUGAGUCCCUAUCUCAAAAUAAAAAAUAAAAAGGGCUGGGGAUGUGGCUCAGUGGUACAGUGCCCCUGAGUCCAAUCUCCAGUACUGGUAAAUCAAUCAAUCAUUCUUGGAAAGGUGAUGUUGAAAUGAAGAGGUUUCUUUUAUGCAAGUAUUCCAUUGUUCCCUCAUAAAGCGUUGGAAAAUAAUUCUGGAAAGAAAAAAUUUGGAAAAUAAAAAUCAACUUUGCAACUAGCAAAUUUCUCAAGGUUAUCAGACAAAUAAAUAAAAAGAAAGAUGAUAUUGUACCUUUCCUGGUUUGAGAUUGGUUUUCAGUUUUAUUUCUUGAGUGAAAAAUUUGGCAUUUAUUUAAAGAAUAAGACAAAUAAUUUUAAAAAGGAUCCAAACGGAUGUAUAUGACUCCUAAGAUAAAUUGACCCUGGUCUGCAUUAUUGAUAAGUCAUCAGGAAAUGCUGUUCGGGGACAUUUGUUUUCUUCAUCAGCAAGAGAUUUUUUGAGGCUUUAUUGGCUCUGAUGUGUCACAAAGUGUUCCUGGUUGUUCUGUUUGGAUAUUAUUGUAACUUAGAGUGAAUAUCUACCAUAAGAAAAUGGAAGGUGAAAAGAGUCUCUGAGAGGUCAUCUGGUCUGUGUCUCUGAAGAGGCAAGUAGUUGCUCUCCAGGGAAUAACAAAUGCCCCUCUGUGAGUCUAAGAUUUCAUUUGGGUGUUCCUUCAGAAUCCUCUUUCCUUAGCUGGGUGAGCCUCAUUUUCAAAUAUUUAGAGGAUAUUUCCUCUGCCUGGAGAUCCUUUGUGAGGUAGGUGCCCAGGCCAGCUUGUGCUCUGGUUCUUUAGUUGUGUGCUGCUUUCUCCUGGACAAAUACCUAACAUAGUGCUUGCACAGUAACACCCUCUUGCUCCAGAGCGUCCCUGCAAAAUAAUCAUACUGCUUGAGGUCUUCCUUUUUUUUUUGUACCAGGGAUUGAACCCAAGGGUGCUCAACCACUGAGUCACAUUCCCAGCCCUUUUUAAAUAUAUAUAUAUAUUUAGAAACAGGGUUUUGCUGAGUUGCUUAGGGCUUCACUGAGUUGCUAAGGUUGGCUUUGAACUCACAAUCCUUCUGCCUCAGCCUCCCAAGCCACUGGGAUUACAAGUGUGCCCCGCCGUGCCCAGCAAGGUCUUCCUUUUCUAGUGGAGGGUUCAGCAGAGUUGUAGGGGAAUAGCAAAUGAAUAUUCAUAAUAUUUUCAGAGGACAGGAAUUCCAUAAAUAGAUGUUUCAUGGAAUAUCUACCAUAAGAAAAUGGAACUUAUCAAAGCUGAGUUGUUUUCCUAUUCAAGGUCCAUCUAGCUCUGUGAUACUGUACCUGUUGGUUUUUCUAUACAGAGGAAGAAAUGGGAAUUAUUUGCUUUUGUAAACACAGUUAAUAUCAGAAAUGAUCAGUGGUGUAAAAGCUGCUUUUGAGUCACCCUGAGCAAUUUGUUAUCACUAUUUUGACAUUUCCUUAACUUUGCAUCUAUUAUCGAAGGGCUCAAACUAUUCAGUGGCUCUCUCCCAUAUAAGCCUCCACUUGUUGGAUUUCUCAUUAUGGUUAGAAUCUUAGACAUUUGGUGCUAUAUCAUCCAUCCCUGGCUAUUCCCUGGUAGAAUUCUAGGCCCACCCUUCUGCUGGAAAUGAAAUGGUCCAAUUUUUAAAAAAUUUUAAAGGCUUAAUCACAUUUUCCUAAACUAUGUUUGUAUCUGUAUCUAUCUGCAUUUAACAAGAUAGGGAAAGUAUGUCUUAUAUACUUACAACUACCAGUCUCUAAGGUAGUUGAGGGCAUGUUGAGGUUGUCCAGAAUCUAGUACACAUUUACCCAUACCACUGAAGUCUUUCCUAGGCACACAGAAGUAUUUCACAAUCUCUGUUUUUGUCAUCAUAAUUGACCAAGGGUGAGAAACUCAGUCCUGGGAUUCCUAUUUGCCCUGGGAGUGGCACAGACAUUCCUGAUGCUCACAGAUAUGAGGGCUCUGGAUGCCCAGAGAGCUCUUUAUCUACCCAGAGCCUGACUGACAUCUCUACUCACUUUGUAUCUGCUUAGCCUGAAGUACGUGACCUCGUUCUAUAAAUAUCAGCCUUGUUGUUCAAAUAAGAGCUGCCUUACAUUCCCGGCCACCACAAAAUCCCCCAGAUGUCCCAUGCUGGCUGUGAGUUUUCAUCUGACUCCCUCUAGGAGAGGGAGCAGGGGCUAGGGGGUUAGGGCCUAGAGCUGCCAUCACUUACCCUUUCUUUCUAUAAAUGUGUGAAGCUCUGGAUGAAGGCCUUGGGAGAUACAAAGAUAAAUAGGACUCAGUCCCAGCUCUCAAGGAGCAUAUAGUGUGGUGCAAUAGAAGAGAUACACAUAGUGGCUGGGGUCGUGGCUCAGUGGUAGAGUACUUGCCUAGCACAUAUGAGACACUGGGUUCAAUCCUCAGCACCACAUAUAAAUAAAAAAUAAAGGUACAUCAACAACUAAAACAUAUUUUUUUAAAAAAGAGAUACACAUAGAUAACUAUAAUAGGAGAAUGAAAGAGGAGCCAUGGGAAAGGAGGAAGAGGAGGAGCUGGAGGAAUUUAGGGAAGGGAGAACUCACUUCCAAAUGGGGGCUCCUGAUAAGGCUUCCUGGGGCUUGCACUUGAGCUGAGACUGAAGAUUAGGUAGGAUUUCAAUAUGGUAAAAUGGGUGAGCUAUUUAGAAAAUCAUUGCUUUGGAUCCUAGUUUAUACAUCAAAUUGAAUUCCAAAUCCUGAGAGUUUAAUAUUUAAAAGUACACCCCCCCAAAAUAGUAAUAUAAUAAUAAUAAACACAAGUAAAUGUUUAUGUAAUCUUAUUUGACGUGUAAGAGAAAAGAAAUAAGAUACAAAAGAAAAUAAUGCGUUUGGCUCACAGAUAUGAUUAUCAUAAACAUGAACACAAGAUAAAAAAAAACAAGGUAGAAUAAGGAAAUGCUUGCCACUUGAUAUUAGGUAAGGGUCAGUAUUAAUACAGAGAGCUUACAUAAAAUAAAUUAGAAAAAUAAACAUUGUAAAAGAAAAAUAGGUGAAAAGACAAUGAGCAGAUUCGAAGUACCAAGCACAGGCCUAGAGCUAGGGCCAAAAAUUGGCUUUGGGUCAAGUCCGGCCUUUCACCAGACUUUUGUGAGGUCUGGCAGCUAAGAAUAGAUUUUAAGUUAUUAAAUGAAUGAAAAAUAUCAAAAGAAGAAUAUUUCAUAAUGUGGAAAUAAUAUAACAUUGUAAUUUUUAGUGUUCAUAAAUCAAAUUUUAUUGAAACACAGUCAUAUCCAUUUGCUGACAGAUCAUCUAGGGCUGCUUUUGCCCUACAACAGCCAAGUUGAGUCAUUCUGACAGACUGUGCAUGACCCCCCAAAACUUAAACAUUUACAACCCUUUACAGCAAAAGUUUGCUAAUCCCCGGCCUAGAGUAAGGGUAGAUAUUGCAUCUUCAAGGAAUUUCAAUUCUACACAUAAAAGCUCAAUGAAAUUUCACUUGACCUUUGGGUUUUCUGUUUUCUCCCUAAAUCUUCAUCUGUUUCAAAGAAAGGACUGAAAAUGUGGGUAUGAUCUGGAAUUAAGGUUAUGAAAUAAGAAUAUCUCAUCUUUAAGGAAGUUGGUCUUAAAAUCUGACUUAUUAUUCUUGCAACUCAAAAAGCCUUUUUUUAUGUCUUUAGAAUUCAGCUUCACAUCUAAAACUGAAAUACCAGUCGGAAAGAAUAAUAAGGUUUAACCUUUACUUAUGUUCUUUCUAUUUUAUAUUUGAUCUAGAGAUAUAAGACACAUGAACAGAUAUCCUACAGUGAGUGAUGAUUUUGUGAAAUUGGAAAAUGCUAGUGAAAUAUAUGAUCUUUUCAGUCACUUUGUUCUCAUCACAUGAAAAUUUUGCCUUAGCAAUAAAAAUUUGAACAGAAAUACCAUUAAUUUGCUUAUAAUUUAUUCAUAUGCUCAUAUGCACUGAUUCUUCUAGUUAAUUUUGAUAUGUUCCAGAAUAUACACAGGGCUGGUUCAUAUCACAAGAUGAAGAUAGAAACUAAGUUUAUCUGUUUCAUCACUAUAUAGCUAGUACUUACAUGUCUAGCACAUUGCCUGGCACGUACGAUAUAACAGAAAUAUGUUUAGUGAAUGAAUGUGGUUUGUUGAUCUAAAGAUAUAAAAUUUAAGUUCCACAUAGUUUUGUAUAAAAGUACAUGAUAAACUAUUUGGGGGGGGGUACUGGGGAUUGAACUCAGGGGCAUUCAACCACUGGGCCGAAUCCCCAGCCCUAUUUUGUAUUUUAUUUAGAGACAGGGUCUCACUGAGUUGCUUAGUGCCUCACUUUUGCUGAAACUGGCUUUGAACUCAUGAUCCUCCUGUCCCAACCUCCGGAGCCCCUGGGAUUAUAGGCGUGUACUACCAUGCCUGGCAUACUAAGCUAUUUUGAAUCCUGUAAAGACCGAGUAUUCUGUCUCAAUACUUCACUUAUUGUUUUAAUAAUAACUUUCAUUUUCACAGAUGCUUACUAAUAUUAUACAACUUGCCUGAGAAGCAAUCAUAAGAAAUCUCAUUAAAAUUAUUAUUACAAUUGGUAAUGUGUUCUGUGCUCUGAAUAAGUUAUAACAACAUUGAUUUUGCAAAAUAAAUAUAUAUAUAUAUUCUUAUUGAAAAAAUACUCUUCAUAAGAAAUUCAGAGACUAUAAAAAUAUAUAGGGAAAGUCGAUGAUAAUUUUAUCCCAGAAGAUAACUCUUAUUAACAACCUGGAUUAUCUUUAGAUUUUUUCCAUACAUAUGGCAACAUGAAUAAUAAUAUAAACUUACUAAAAUACAAUCCUACUAUACAUACUAUUUUUAAAAAAUAUUUUAGUUGUAGAUGGACACAACACCUUUAUUUUAUGUAUUUAUAUUAUGUGGUGCUGAGGAUUGAACCCAGUGCCUCAUAUGUGCCAAGCAAAUGCUUUACAAUGGAGCUACAAAUGCAGCCCUAUACAUACUAUUUUGAAACAUGUUUUUUCCUGUGAAAAGCAAAUUUCUGUGUCAGUACUUAAAUAUCACUUUAAAAAUUUUUUAAUUAAUUUUUUUUAGUUGUUGAUGGACCUUUGUUUUAUUCAUUAUAUGUGGUGCUGAGAAUCAAACCCAGUGCUUCACACAUGCUAGUCAAGCGCUCUGCCACUGAGCCACACCCCCAGCUCCUCACUUUCUUAUUUUUAGUGACUGAACAAUAGAUAUUAUAUGAAUAUACCAUGAUCAUUUAUCCACACUUUCCUAUUGACAAACAUUUCGAUUUAACAACUAAUUAUAUUUUGAAGUGCUUUAGAUGCCCAAGUAAUCUUAAUGACAAACAAAGAAUACUGAGUGCUUGAGACAGAGAGAGAGGAAAAAGAAAGAGUUAAACAAGUGAGUAAAUUUUGUUUAAGCAAUGAUAGGCCUGCAUGCAUCCUGGGAAUUUUUAGCCAGCAAGCUGCAGACAGUUUGGCAUGGCUGAUGCAAUGACAGCACAAUUAUAUGUCACUGAGGCAAGCAUGUGAAAUUGCAAACAAAUGCCUUUGUUUUAAAGAAGGCAAGUCAUAACCACUGUAGAGACUGUUGGUGUUAGAGCUCUGCAGGGUUUUCAGGUUUAGAAAAGAAGGAUCUUGAAGCUUUGUUGGGAUCCAGUAGACCACCAAAGAAACAUCCCACAGGGCUGUUGCUUACCUUUCACUGCCUUUACUCUGCAUCAUUCAGUGGCUGCAGUUCUGAAAUCUUUUAACUGCUCCCAGCAGGAGUUGCUUGGCAAAGGCUAAUAGAUGGAGGUUGGAUAAUAUCAGUAAGCUUCCAGACAGGACAAGCAUCAGGAUUUGUGUGAUCUGGGAUGUGUCUUUUGUCUCUGCCAGUUUGAUUAGAAAGGGAGCUGGAGGCCUUUGGGGGAAUGCCACCCCUGAUAGCUUCCUGUGUUCAGCUAGGAAAGACCUGACGAAUGUGGCUUGGCAAAGACCUCAGUGCCAAGCAAGACCUUAACUUCUUGAUUGGGUUAUUUCUAGCUAGAUUUCUGCUAAUUUGCCCCUUUCCAGACAAAUAGAAAAAGCAGGAAGUACAUUGGCACUUGAGGCCCUUAUGAAUGCCAUUAGUUUUGUUGAACUUGGAUUCCUUUAUAGGAAAUUAUCUAACAUAUGUGUGUUGCGUCAUUUAGAGCAGCAUAUUAGUAGGACAAAUGUUGCAGCUGAAGCAUAAGAAUAGUUUUUUUUUAAUAUUUGUUUUUUGGUUUUAGGUGGACACAAUAUCUUUAUUUUACAUUUAUGUGGUGCUGAGGAUCGAACCCAAUGCCUUGUGCAUGUUAGUCGAGUGCUCUACCACUGAGCCACAGCCCCAACCCCAAGAAUAGUUUUUUAAAAAAUAAAUCAGUGUGUCACUAGAUACAAAUAAAGUAAAAGUCACAUCAUUCACUAGAUAUGAAUAAAAGUCCAUGCUGAGUAUCAGAUGACCCACAGUGUGAGCAGGCAACAGUGACAAGGCUGGAAAGAGACCAUAGUAGGAAUAAUUAAAACCAACUUACACAUCCCUAUGUGCCAGACCCUAUUCUAAGCACUUUACAUAAGUUGCCUCAUUUAGACCACACCAGGAUCCUAGGAAUUUUGGCACUAUUAUUAUUCCUAUUUUACAACAGAGAAAACUGAGCACAGAGAAGUUGAUAAACUGACCCCAUGUCACAUACCUAAUAAGUGGUACAGCAGUGACUCAAACCCUGGUAAUCUACUUCUGGAGCCUAUGCUGUUAGCUAACAGUAUGUCUGAGAAAUCCAAAACUUCAAAGUCAACAUCUAAUCAGAUCAGAAGCAGUAAACACACCCAGAGCACUGAAAAGUAUGGAGACAGUAUUUUCCAUAAAAAGGAGCCAGGACCACCUGGAGAAAUGGCUGAUUCAAGGAAGCAAACCAGAGAAACCUGAAGCAUCUUGUCAUAUAGAUGGUGAGGAGGUUAUUGAAGACUACUAGGGUUGUUCCAAAAGGGCCUGCAAGCCUACUGAAGGGGACUCUGGAUGGCCAAAGAGAUGACAAUUUGAGCAUCAAUAAAGAUAACAGAUAACACAACAAGUAUAUUUAGCCCUGUGAGUUCAUAAUGGUGCUCAAAUAAUUUGCCAUGUUUGGAAGAUGAUUGGGAAGCAAUUCAUUGUUGAAUUGAAAACUCGUAAAAAAAAAUGUAGAAAAAAAAUGCUACCCUUUUUUUUCUGCUUUCCCAAUGUGAAUUGUAUCCCUGGGUAACUAAAUAGUACAUGAGAUAAAACUCCUCUUUGUAGAACUGAUCCAGAUGGUAAAUGACAAAAGAAGGAUAGAAUUAGAGUACAGGUUGAUUCUCUUACCUGAAAUUUUUAGGACCAAAUGUGUUUUAGAUUUUGAAUUUUUUCAGAUUUUGGAAUAUUUGCAUAUAAUGAGAUAUCUUGGGGAUAUGAUCCAAGUCUAAACAUGAAAUUCGCUUAUUUUUUUUUUAAUUUUUUAAUAUUUAUUUUUUAGUUCUCGGCGGACACAACAUCUUUGUUCGUAUGUGGUGCUGAGGAUCGAACCCGGGCCGCACACAUGCCAGGCUAGCGCACUACUGCCUGAGCCACAUCCCCUGCCCCUGUGAAAUUUGCUUAUGUUUCUUAUACUCCUUUAACAGAGAGCCCAAAGGUAAUUUUAUACUGUAUUUUUAGUGUGUUCGCAUUUUAAAUGUGACCAAUCACAUGUGGUCAGGUGUGGAACUCUCCACUUGUGAUGUCAGGCUAGUGCACAAAAACUUUUGGAUUUCAGAGCAUUUUGAAUUUAGGGGUUUGGGGUCGAGAAUGCUCAACCUGUAUCAAAUUUUCACAGCCCUUAAAGAACUAAUGGAUGAGAAAUGAUUGCUAACAGAAAAAAACAUAGACAGCCUGAAAAUAUGUGCCACCUGUUUGUCAAAAGAAGAACGUGCCCCAUUCAUGAAGACUCGCCAAAGAGUAAACUUGAAUCUCAUCAAGCCUCUCAUUCCAAUUACCAAUUUCAGAAAAUUUAGAGGACAGAGGAACAGAUUACACUAUGCUAAAGGAAUGCAAACAAGAGAAAAGCAAACUGUGAGAAACUCUACAGAACAAAUGACCUGAUCUCUUUAAUAAUUAAUUUGCAAAAAAGGGGAGAACCCUAUAGAUCAAAAGAGAUUUAAAAGCAUAUCAACCAAUUGCAACCUGUGGAUUUUAUUUGGAUCUUAAUAUUUUUCAAACGUAAAAUAACAUUUAUGAGAAAAUUGACCAUCUGAACAGUGACUAUAUAUUUGAUUAUGUUAAGGAAUUGCUGUUAAUUUUAUAGAUUGGUUGUUAAUAUUGUGGUUAUGUAUUAAAAACCUUCUCUUCUGUUGAUUAAAUUAUUUAGUCUCCAAGAUUUGCUUUAAAAUAACAUGCAANUGACCCAAGGGCAUGUAACCACUG
rnacentral:lncRNA from 1 species